rnacentral:rRNA from 1 species
CCUACGGGAGGCAGCAGUGAGGAAUAUUGGUCAAUGGACGAGAGUCUGAACCAGCCAAGUAGCGUGAAGGAUGACUGCCCUAUGGGUUGUAAACUUCUUUUAUAUGGGAAUAAACUGUUCCACGUGUGGGAUUUUGUAUGUACCAUAUGAAUAAGGAUCGGCUAACUCCGUGCCAGCAGCCGCGGUAAUACGGAGGAUCCGAGCUUUAUCCGGAUUUAUUGGGUUUAAAGGGAGCGUAGUUGGUUUGUUAAGUCAGUUGUGAAAGUUUGCGGCUCAACCGUAAAAUUGCAGUUGAAACUGGCAGUCUUGAGUACAGUAGAGGUGGGCGGAAUGCGUGGUGUAGCGGUGAAAUGCUUAGAUAUCACGAAGAACUCCGAUUGCGAAGGCAGUUCACUGGACUGCAACUGACACUGAGGCUCGAAAGUGUGGGUAUCAAACAGGAUUAGAUACCCUAGUAGUC